CGCGGUAUUCUAACCGUGCAAAGGUAGCAUAAUCACUUGUCUUCUAAAUAAAGACUAGUAUGAACGGCUAAAUGAGGAUAAACCUGUCUCUUACAACUAAUCAGUGAAACUGAUCUUCCAGUACAAAAGCUGGAAUUAGAACAUAAGACGAGAAGACCCCGUGGAGCUUAAAAUAAACAACUAACCACAUAAGCACUAGUGGAUUAUUUUGAGUUGGGGCGACUUCGGAGUAAAACAAAACCUCCGAGCACAGAACCACCACUUCUAACCUAAGGCCUACAAGCCUAAGUAAAAAUUGACCCGGCCUUACCGAUCAACGAACCAAGUUACCCCGGGGAUAACAGCGCUAUCUUCUUCAAGAGUCCCUAUCAACAAGAAGGUUUACGACCUCGAUGUUGGAUCAGGACACCCAAAUGGUGCAGCCGCUAUUAAAGGUUCGUUUGUUCAACGAUUAACAGUCCUACGUGAUCUGA
rnacentral:rRNA from 1 species